rnacentral:miRNA from 1 species
UUUGCAAAGUUUGCAAAUUUUGUAUACUUUUGUAUUGCAUGCGAAAAUUGCAAUACAAAAGUAUACAAAAUUUGCAAAUUUUGGAAGGCUAU